rnacentral:rRNA from 1 species
GUGGGGAAUUUUGGACAAUGGGCGCAAGCCUGAUCCAGCAAUGCCGCGUGCAGGAAGAAGGCCUUCGGGUUGUAAACUGCUUUUGUACGGAACGAAACGGUCCUGGCUAAUAUCCGGGGCUAAUGACGGUACCGUAAGAAUAAGCACCGGCUAACUACGUGCCAGCAGCCGCGGUAAUACGUAGGGUGCGAGCGUUAAUCGGAAUUACUGGGCGUAAAGCGUGCGCAGGCGGUGCUGUAAGACAGGCGUGAAAUCCACGGGCUCAACCUGGGAAUUGCGCUUGUGACUGCAGUGCUGGAGUGCGGCAGAGGGGGAUGGAAUUCCGCGUGUAGCAGUGAAAUGCGUAGAUAUGCGGAGGAACACCGAUGGCGAAGGCAAUCCCCUGGGCCUGCACUGACGCUCAUGCACGAAAGCGUGGGGAGCAAACAGGAUUAGAAACCCGAGUAGUCC